UUGAACGCUAGCGGGAUGCCUUACACAUGCAAGUCGAACGGCAGCACGGACUUCGGUCUGGUGGCGAGUGGCGAACGGGUGAGUAAUGUAUCGGAACGUGCCUAGUAGCGGGGGAUAACUACGCGAAAGCGUAGCUAAUACCGCAUACGCCCUACGGGGGAAAGCAGGGGAUCGCAAGACCUUGCACUAUUAGAGCGGCCGAUAUCGGAUUAGCUAGUUGGUGGGGUAACGGCUCACCAAGGCGACGAUCCGUAGCUGGUUUGAGAGGACGACCAGCCACACUGGGACUGAGACACGGCCCAGACUCCUACGGGAGGCAGCAGUGGGGAAUUUUGGACAAUGGGGGAAACCCUGAUCCAGCCAUCCCGCGUGUGCGAUGAAGGCCUUCGGGUUGUAAAGCACUUUUGGCAGGAAAGAAACGUCAUGGGCUAAUACCCCGUGAAACUGACGGUACCUGCAGAAUAAGCACCGGCUAACUACGUGCCAGCAGCCGCGGUAAUACGUAGGGUGCAAGCGUUAAUCGGAAUUACUGGGCGUAAAGCGUGCGCAGGCGGUUCGGAAAGAAAGAUGUGAAAUCCCAGAGCUUAACUUUGGAACUGCAUUUUUAACUACCGAGCUAGAGUGUGUCAGAGGGAGGUGGAAUUCCGCGUGUAGCAGUGAAAUGCGUAGAUAUGCGGAGGAACACCGAUGGCGAAGGCAGCCUCCUGGGAUAACACUGACGCUCAUGCACGAAAGCGUGGGGGAGCAAACAGGAUUAGAUACCCUGGUAGUCCACGCCCUAAACGAUGUCAACUAGCUGUUGGGGCCUUCGGGCCUUGGUAGCGCAGCUAACGCGUGAAGUUGACCGCCUGGGGAGUACGGUCGCAAGAUUAAAACU
rnacentral:rRNA from 1 species